GUUCAACAAGGCAUGAGAACCUAUUUGGCACAAAAAUAAAGAGGAAGUAAUUCGUACGAAGAUUAUGAAAUGACUGACAAAUAAAAAAACUCAAAGGCUUUGAUGUUUUGUUUUUAUCAUCAAAGGAUGCUUAGAGGAUGUAGAAACACAAUUCUAAAUCACUUGAAUGAUAACAAGCUUCAAGUCAGGCUCCUAAAGAACCAAAACUAACAUUCAGAUUUCAACUCAUAAAAAAACUUUGCUGGCUUGGCAUGUUAAAAUUGAAAAGAACAAGCCAAAAAUUAAACCACCGCCAUUACUUCAGGAGAUACAAUAUCACCUAAAAACCCAAUUAGCCAAGAUACAAAGUUUCCAAUCAAAGCAUUACAACCUAUAACCACUUAACAUUUAUUAUAAGAUAUU
rnacentral:lncRNA from 1 species